AGUGUGUUAAAGUUAUUCUGAUAUUGACUGUAGUUCUGAGCUUUGUCUCUAUCCCACCAAACCACUAACUUCUGGAAAUUACUUGUAGACCAAGAUGGGAGGACUCCGUGUGUGGCUCCAUAUGAAUGACUUAUCGUGCCUGUCCAGAGUCAGGGAAAGGAGAAACAAUCUUAUUUGAGAAGGGAGGAUAUCACUGCAGUGGUUGUGAAAUCGUGUUUGGAAGCUAGAUUGCUCUAGACCACUAAGCUCUCUUCAUGUGACAAAGAAACUUCCUAAAAUACUAAAAGCUAAAGGAGAUUGUUAUCUAAGCUUGAGAUGGAAGGUUGCCAGCGGAAACUUGGAGAAUCCUGAAUUGAGCCUGUGUUCCCAGUUCCUAGAAACCCUCAAGGUUAUUGGUUUCCUCCUCGCUUAAUAGACCAGUGGAAGAAAUCUACCUCCAGUUCUAUCUUCACAUGAGCAACUGUUUACAGUUUACAAUAUUACUCUGAAAAUCAGUUCUUUUCAAGUUUUAUCUAACACCCACCAGAAGAAACAGAAGAUUAUGAAAAUGGAAUUUGUCAAAGUUCCUCUCCCAACAAUAUGAUAUUUAAUUUUGCUAACAUUUUUUUUUGAACACUUACUAUAUUGCAGACAAUGGUCUAAGUAAAGCAUUUUAUGUGCAUCCUAUCAUGUCAUCAUCACACAGCCCUGUGAGGUAGAUACUAUUAUUAUUAACCACAUUUCACAUUCAAAAAAACUGAGGCUUAGAGAGACUAAGUAAAUUGUCCAAGGUCACACAGCCAUGAAGUGGCAGAGCUGUGGUUAAAACCUAUGUCUGUCUGAUGUUUAAGAUUUUGCUGUUAGCAUUACUUUGAAAUGACAAUAUGAGGGCAUUUUAUGUAUUUUUUUUGCCCCAAUAUGAUCUGCAGAAACUAUGUAUUUUAAGUACUACAUUUCUUUUAUUUACCAAAUUAUUGUCAGAUAAGAAACCGAAAUAAAA
rnacentral:lncRNA from 1 species